rnacentral:lncRNA from 1 species
GUCUCUGCCGGAGGCUCUCGUCUUGCGUAUCACUGAAUGGCUUACCACCAGCGCUACUUUUCCUAGAAUGGAUUUGCUUAUGGGCGUGCCAAUGGAUCCGAAAGGGAAGUGGUCUGAGAACUUCGGUGCAAAAAAUGUUACAUUAACAUUUGUUUUCCCAACUCAAACCUCCACUACUUCCCACAGUUUGUCUAGAAAUUCAGCCCACUUUAGAGCUCCUUUUUCUCGUUUAGGCUAUACCAGCCCCUCAGGGGCUUAUGGAGUCCAAGAAAAUUGAAGGAGGGCCUCACAUCUGGACUGCUGUUUUUUCCUUAACAUGUAUGUGACAUGACUUUGUGCCAGACGCUUCUAAGAACUUCACGUGCAUUAACCAAUUUAAAUCUUCUCCACCACUUGAUAAAAUAGAUGCUGUUAUCCCAACUUUACCCUUGGGGAAACUCGAGUCCCAGGGAGGUCAAGUAAUUGCCCUUGGCGGGAAGCUGUUGAAUAGUAGAGCUGUGGUUUGAACGUGAGCGCUUUGGCUCCAAACAGAAGUCCGUGCCGCCACAUAUACUGCCUCUCAUUAAAGUGUUGUUGUUCCCUUGCUUUUGUGUUUGUAACAUUAGCCGUUAAGUGUUAAUCCUUUCCUUUAUUCAGACCCUGGGGGGCGGGGAGUGGGGAGGCCCAGUGCCCCUCACUGCAACCUUCGGUGGUCCCAAGGCCCAGUAUGCAGCCCUCUGCCAUCGCCCACAGGUUCAGCCACCUCUGAGGCAUUGCGUUCCAUCAAGGUCCAGGAGUCCACCAGCCACAGCUACCCACCACACCACCCCUCAACCCCAGGCUUGGAAGAGCUGACCCUUCCUCACCAGUGUCAGGCUACCUCUUCUUCUUGAAGCAUCAGCCACCAUCCUUUCCAUCUUUCAAGGAACUCCAGCUUAAUUUCUUGAUGGCCUUGUCCUUCUAAAACAAAGGCUGUUCCCUCUUCCUAGAAUCUUCUUUUCCCACUCCCUCCAUAGUAACUCUGCUCAUCCUUCCAGUCUCAGCUCAGUUGUCGCUUUUUCAAGGAAGACUUCUCUGACCGCCGUUCCUUGUCUCUGACACAGGCUCUUACAAUCCCAUAGCAGUUAUCCCAGCGAAGAUUUCAAAUGUAUUUCUGUUUAUUUGAUUAAAUUUUCUCUCCCUCACCAGGCUGUAAGCUCCCAGAAGCUGACCCUUUUGUCUCUGUUUGCUCACCAUGACAUUGCUAGUCCCUUGCAGUGAUUGACAGAAGAUGCUGAAUUUAUUAAUUCAUUUAAUUCGGAUUAAAUGAAUGAAUGAAUAACCUCACAGGAAAAGCAGCCCAGAACUCAGAGGAUAAAUGGCUUGGCUAUCUUUACCAAAAUGAGGAAGCAGCAUAUUAC